rnacentral:lncRNA from 1 species
CCCGGCUGACGCAGGCUGCCGGACUCCCUGUUUGAGAGAAGCGUGGGGAGCCCGCUCUGUCCCCACCCGCCAGGCUCAGGGCGGCUCCCAGGGCUCCCACAUCCCGCCGUCCACUCUGAGGCCCAGGAAGGCGGAAUCCUCAACUACCUCAGCUGGAGCUCCCCCGAUGCCCGCCCAGUUGGCCCACCCCGAGGUGGAGGGGGCGGGAGGAGGAAAGGCAGGGAGAGCCCGGAUCCAGCCGGCCUUCGAGAGCCCCCACGUGAUUCUGGAACUUUCUCUCUCACUCUGUGUGUCGAGGCCGGCUUUGCCCUCCCAGCCCACCUUCAGCCGAGAAUACUGAGGCCGAGAGGGACAUGCAGUAAAAGGUGACACUGAGGCCGAGAUGAUGAGUCAAUGUCCCCGUGGUAAAGGGGACACCCACAAUCCACACCUCGCAAGGUGACCUCAGAGGCCCAGCUCCUGCCUCCAACCGGGGCUUGAGGUGCACAGCAGGUCCAGGUUGCCACCUCCACUGGCUCUCCUGCCCCCACACAGUGUGGUCACCAGGGUUGGUCCUGGGGGCUGGGCCAGGGACCGGGGGUGUUUGGGCUUCUGCUCCGUGGCUGUGUCCAGGGCAGGGGCAGCCAACGGCUGGCUGCAGGGGCAUGCGGGGCACCACUACAGGCUGUGGCAGAGGGGAGCCCCAACCGAGGACCUGCGCCACGGGCCGGGUGCACGCUGGCCUUGAGGACCUUAUAUGAAUCAGCUGGUGUCCUGGGCUGUGGUCUCCCGGGAUCUGGUGGCAGGGCCAUCCUCCCUGGGCGGGUGGCAGCCUCCCCGGUUCCAUCUUUGUGACAUUUCCAGGUGAAACCUCUCUGAUGUCACAGCCGGUCCCUCACAUGUUUUCUGAUUGCCUGGGCGGUGGCCGGCAUCAUGCUGGGUGCGGGAGCC